ACGCUCGACACCUACGGGAGGCAGCAGUGGGGAAUAUUGCACAAUGGGGGAAACCCUGAUGCAGCGACGCCGCGUGGAGGAAGAAGGUCUUCGGAUUGUAAACUCCUGUUGUUGGGGAAAAAGAGGAUGGUACCCAACAAGGAAGUGACGGCUAACUACGUGCUAGCAGCCGCGGUAAUCUGAGGCGGCUGGCAAGGC
rnacentral:rRNA from 1 species